rnacentral:tRNA from 1 species
GAAGAUGUAGCUCAGUGGUAGAGCAUUUGUCUAGCAUAUACAAGAUGAUGGGUUUGAUCCCCAGCUCCA